CAGCGUCGGUGAGACAUAUGAGGAAGAGACCCAUGACAAACCAAUAUCGCGGGCUGAAUUUUAUGCAAACCGCUUUGACUGCCUGGUCCACCUCAACGUGAUCCCCAGCUCUGAUGUCAGUACAGUGCAGAAACAGGUCUCUCAGUUGCUGAACACACCUCACAACGUCGGAUAUCUCACGCUAAUGGCUAACCCCCAGAGCAUCCAAGUGAACGCUGUAGAGGACUUCCCCCCUGCCACAGUCAUUCCUCCCAUUGUCAUGGCCACUGGAACCUCUUCUGACACAACCAAAGACCUUAGUGUCACGACUGGUGGCGAACUCUCAGACAUAUAUUUUGAGGUUGAUGUGAACGUGACCCUUACUGGGUUCUGUAUCCAUCCGGAACGGACUAUCAUUGCCUGG